rnacentral:misc_RNA from 1 species
CUUUUCAGGACAAACGGGGGUCUAUAGCAAUAUAGCCCUUGCCUGCAUCCGUGUUUUUUGCGUACUUAUUGUUUCCUCGGUGGGCUUGCCUGCCGGCUGGACAACUUAAACUCUUUUGUAAUUGCAGUCAGCGUCUGAAUAACUUAAUAGUUA